rnacentral:rRNA from 1 species
UACGUAGGGGGCAAGCGUUGUCCGGAAUUAUUGGGCGUAAAGAGCGCGUAGGCGGUCCGAUAAGUCGGCUGUGAAAGUCAGGGGCUCAACCCUUGGAAGCCGGCCGAUACUGUCGGACUAGAGUCCGGAAGAGGCAAGUGGAAUUCCCGGUGUAGCGGUGAAAUGCGCAGAUAUCGGGAGGAACACCAAUGGCGAAGGCAGCUUGCUGGGACGGUACUGACGCUGAGACGCGAAAGCGUGGGGAGCGAACAGG